GUCAGAUGAUGAAUUUUAUCCAUUGAAGUGUCAAGCUCAUGAUGACACUUAUCCAUCACCCUAUUCUGAUGGCA
rnacentral:snoRNA from 1 species